UACGUAGGGUGCAAGCGUUGUCCGGAAUUAUUGGGCGUAAAGAGCUCGUAGGCGGUUUGUCGCGUCUGCUGUGAAAACUGGGGGCUCAACCCCCAGCCUGCAGUGGGUACGGGCAAACUAGAGUUCGGUAGGGGAGACUGGAAUUCCUGGUGUAGCGGUGAAAUGCGCAGAUAUCAGGAGGAACACCGGUGGCGAAGGCGGGUCUCUGGGCCGAUACUGACGCUGAGGAGCGAAAGCGUGGGGAGCGAACAGG
rnacentral:rRNA from 1 species